AGUUGUGUUGUCUUUCUUAGAAUCCCUAAAAGAACUUUACCAAACCUGACCAAAGCAUAGUUGGGAGCAAAAAAUGGCGAGGAACUUGCGUUCGUCCAAGGCUAUUGAUAUAGCUUGUCCAUUUGACCCAGAGAAGCUUAAUGAUGAUCAAGCUGAGCAAUAUUUAAGGCGUUUAUGGAUAUUAAUGGGGAAAGAGAAAGCAAAACACUGUCUGUAUAUAGAUCCCCUUGUCAUCAAAGAUUACUAUGACAACAGAAAGGGCAGGGAUAAAGUGUUAAGUUGUA